GUCCACGCCGUAAACGAUGAAUACUAGGUGUAGGAGGUAUCGACCCCUUCUGUGCCGGAGCUAACACAAUAAGUAUUCCGCCUGGGAAGUACGAUCGCAAGAUUAAAACUCAAAGGAAUUGACGGGGGCCCGCACAAGCGGUGGAGUAUGUGGUUUAAUUCGACGCAACGCGAAGAACCUUACCAGGUCUUGACAUUGAUCGCCAUUCACAGAAAUGUGAAGUUCUCCUUCGGGAGACGAGAAAACAGGUGGUGCACGGCUGUCGU
rnacentral:rRNA from 1 species